rnacentral:rRNA from 1 species
GAUGAACGCUGGCGGCGUGCCUAACACAUGCAAGUCGAGCGAUUCUCUUCGGAGAAGAGCGGCGGACGGGUGAGUAACGCGUGGGUAACCUGCCCUGUACACACGGAUAACAUACCGAAAGGUAUGCUAAUACGGGAUAGCAUAAGAAAUUCGCAUGUUUUUCUUAUCAAAGCUCCGGCGGUACAGGAUGGACCCGCGUCUGAUUAGCUAGUUGGUGAGGUAAUGGCUCACCAAGGCGACGAUCAGUAGCCGACCUGAGAGGGUGAUCGGCCACAUUGGAACUGAGACACGGUCCAAACUCCUACGGGAGGCAGCAGUGGGGAAUAUUGCACAAUGGGCGAAAGCCUGAUGCAGCAACGCCGCGUGAGCGAUGAAGGCCUUCGGGUCGUAAAGCUCUGUCCUCAAGGAAGAUAAUGACGGUACUUGAGGAGGAAGCCCCGGCUAACUACGUGCCAGCCGCCGCAGUAAAAC